GCAGUCGAGCGGACAGAUGGGAGCUUGCUCCCUGAAGUCAGCGGCGGACGGGUGAGUAACACGUGGGCAACCUGCCUGUAAGACUGGGAUAACUCCGGGAAACCGGGGCUAAUACCGGAUAAUUCUUUUCCUCUCAUGAGGAAAAGCUGAAAGAUGGUUUCGGCUAUCACUUACAGAUGGGCCCGCGGCGCAUUAGCUAGUUGGUGAGGUAACGGCUCACCAAGGCCACGAUGCGUAGCCGACCUGAGAGGGUGAUCGGCCACACUGGGACUGAGACACGGCCCAGACUCCUACGGGAGGCAGCAGUAGGGAAUCUUCCGCAAUGGACGAAAGUCUGACGGAGCAACGCCGCGUGAGUGAUGAAGGUUUUCGGAUCGUAAAACUCUGUUGUCAGGGAAGAACAAGUACCGGAGUAACUGCCGGUACCUUGACGGUACCUGACCAGAAAGCCACGGCUAACUACGUGCCAGCAGCCGCGGUAAUACGUAGGUGGCAAGCGUUGUCCGGAAUUAUUGGGCGUAAAGCGCGCGCAGGCGGUUCCUUAAGUCUGAUGUGAAAGCCCCCGGCUCAACCGGGGAGGGUCA
rnacentral:rRNA from 1 species